GCCAAAUCGCGAUGCACGAUUUGAAGGCGGUUGGUAGCUUUAAUAUCAAGAACCAUUGUCUGUAUUGAAGCUUGCAACCGACUGCAAUUCGGUCUCGCAG
rnacentral:pre_miRNA from 1 species